rnacentral:rRNA from 1 species
UACAGAGGGCGCGAGCGUUGUCCGGAAUCACUGGGCGUAAAGGGCGCGUAGGUGGCGGCAUAAGGCUGUGGUGGAAGUCCGGGGCUCAACCCCGGAUCGGCCGCGGCGACUGUGUUGCUUGGGUACCGUAGAGGCAGAUGGAAUUCCGGGUGUAGCGGUGGAAUGCGUAGAGAUCCGGAAGAACACCAGUGGCGAAGGCGGUCGUGCUGGGCGGUGGGACCGAAAGGUCUCCGUUGACCGACACUGAGGCGCGACAGCGUGGGGAGCAAACAGG